UCAAAGGAAUUGACGGGGGCCCGCACAAGCGGUGGAGCAUGUGGUUCAAUUCGAAGCAACGCGAAGAACCUUACCAGCCCUUGACAUCCCGGUCGCGGGAACGAGAGAUCGAUCCCUUCAGUUCGGCUGGACCGGAAACAGGUGCUGCAUGGCUGUCGUCAGCUCGUGUCGUGAGAUGUUGGGUUAAGUCCCGCAACGAGCGCAACCCUCGCCCUUAGUUGCCAUCAUUCAGUUGGGCCCUCUAAGGGGACUGCCGGUGAUAAGCCGCGAGGAAGGUGGGGAUGACGUCAAGUCCUCAUGGCCCUUACGGGCUGGGCUACACACGUGCUACAAUGGCGGUGACAAAGGGAUGCAAGGGGGCAACCCUGCGCAAAUCUCAAAAAGCCGUCUCAGUUCGGAUUGCACUCUGCAACUCGAGUGCAUGAAGUUGGAAUCGCUAGUAAUCGCAGAUCAGCACGCUGCGGUGAAUACGUUCCCGGGCCUUGUACACACCGCCCGUC
rnacentral:rRNA from 1 species